CAGUCGCCGCGGUAACACGUAAGGUGCGAGCGUUGUUCGGAAUUAUUGGGCGUAAAGGGCAUGUAGGCGGAAAUGCAAGCUUGAUGUGAAAUACUGCAGCUUAACUGCGGAACAGCAUUGAGAACUGCGUAUCUUGAAUUACUGAAGGGUAACCGGAAUUCCACGUGUAGGGGUGAAAUCUGUAGAUAUGUGGAAGAACACCAAUGGCGAAGGCAGGUUACCGGCAGAUAAUUGACGCUGAGGUGCGAAAGUGCGGGGAGCGAACAGGAUUAGAUACCCCCGUAGUCCCUGUCUCUUAUGC
rnacentral:rRNA from 1 species